rnacentral:ncRNA from 2 species
UUAUAUUAAGGAGCGAUGAAAAAUGAUCUACAUGUGGGCACUUGGAUCAUUAGGAGCGAGUAGUGCAACCGGACUUUAUAUAU